CGGAUUCUGGCUCAGAACGAACGCUGGCAGCGUGGAUUAGGCAUGCAAGUCGAACGGGAUCGGGAAGAUAGCAAUAUCGGCCCGUGAGAGUGGCGGAAGGGCGAGGAACACGUGAGCAACCUGUCCAGGAGACGGGGAAAACCUCGGGAAACUGAGGCUAAUACCGGAUGCGGCGUCCCGGCACAUGCCGGGAGCGCCAAAGGGGGCGAAAGCUCCCGCUCCACGAGGGGCUCGCGCACCAUCAGCUUGUUGGCGGGUAACGGCCCACCAAGGCUUACGGUUAGCUGGUCUGAGAGGAUGGCCAGCCGCACUGGGACUGAGAUACUGCCCAGACUCCUACGGGAGGCUGCAGUCGAGGAUCAUUCGCAAUGGGGGAAACCCUGACGAUGCGACGCUGCGUGGAGGAUGACGGCCUUCGGGUUGUAAACUCCUGUCAUGAAGGAAAAGGCGAGGGGACCCAACACGUCCCUUAGUUGAUGGUACUUCAAGAGGAACGGGCGGCUAACUCUGUGCCAGCAGCAGC
rnacentral:rRNA from 1 species